CCUACGGGUGGCAGCAGUGAGGAAUAUUGGUCAAUGGACGAGAGUCUGAACCAGCCAAGUAGCGUGAAGGAUGACUGCCCUAUGGGUUGUAACCUUCUUUUAUAUGGUAAUAAAGUGUGCCAAGUGUGGGAUUUUGUAUGUACCAUAUGAAUAAGGAUCGGCUAACUCCGUGCCAGCAGCCGCGGUAAUACGGAGGAUCCGAGCGUUAUCCGGAUUUAUUGGGUUUAAAGGGAGCGUAGGUGGAUUGUUAAGUCAGUUGUGAAAGGUUGCGGCUCAACCGUAGAAUUGCAGUUGAAACUGGCAGUCUUGAGUACAGUUGAGGUAGGCGGAAUUCGUGGUGUAGCGGUGAAAUGCUUAGAUAUCACGAAGAACUCCGAUUGCGAAGGCAGUUUACUGAACUGCAACUGACACUGAGGCUCGAAAGUGUGGGUAUCAAACAGGAUUAGAUACCCGUGUAGUC
rnacentral:rRNA from 1 species